GACGUAGGUGGCGAGAGUUAUCCGGAAUUACUGGGCGUAAAGCGUGUGCAGGCGGGCUAGCAAGUGGUGUAUGAAAGCUCCCGGCUCAACCGGGAAGGGUUAUGCCAGACUGCUAGUCUUGAGUGCGAGAGAGGAGCGUGGAAUUCCGGGUGUAGUGGUGAAAUGCGUAGAGAUCCGGAGGAACCCCAGAGGCGAAGGCGGCGCUCUGGCUCGCAACUGACGCUCAGACACGACAGCAUGGGGAGCAAACGGG
rnacentral:rRNA from 1 species